rnacentral:pre_miRNA from 1 species
GGCUACAGCACGGUUGUAUCAAUGCUGCUAACUGUGAUUGAGCUUCCUUGCUGUAGACAU